CCUACGGGAGGCAGCAGUGAGGAAUAUUGGUCAAUGGACGCAAGUCUGAACCAGCCAUGCCGCGUGCAGGAAGACGGCUCUAUGAGUUGUAAACUGCUUUUGUACGAGGGUAAACGCAGAUACGCGUAUCUGUCUGCAAGUAUCGUACGAAUAAGGAUCGGCUAACUCCGUGCCAGCAGCCGCGGUAAUACGGAGGAUUCAAGCGUUAUCCGGAUUUAUUGGGUUUAAAGGGUGCGUAGGCGGUCGGAUAAGUUAGCGGUGAAAUCCCGAGGCUCAACUUCGGAAUUGCCUCUGAGACUGUUCGGCUAGAGAGUAGUUGCGGUAGGCGGAAUGUAUGGUGUAGCGGUGAAAUGCUUAGAGAUCAUACAGAACACCGAUUGCGAAGGCAGCUUACCAAGCUACGUCUGACGUUGAGGCACGAAAGCGUGGGGAGCAAACAGGAUUAGAUACCCUUGUAGUC
rnacentral:rRNA from 1 species